AUGGGCGAGGACGAUGCGGCGCCGCCCGUAUCGGAGCCGCCGGCGAGGGACUGGUCGCUGCUGCCCCUUGACACGCUAUCCUCGAUCUUCGUCAGGGUCGGCGCCGUCGACGUCCUCAUGGGCGCUGGCCUCGUGUGCCGCUCGUGGCUCGAGGCGGCGAAGUUGCCAGACGUGUGGCGAGCCGUGGUCAUGGAGAACCACGAUGUCGUGUUCCUAAAGGACGAACUUGUCCUGUGCGCAAUGGCGAAGGCGGCGGUCGACCGUUCCGACGGACAGCUUCGGGUGUUCGCUGGGAAUCAGUUCGUCAACAAUGUGCUCCUCAAGUACAUCUUGGAAAGGUCACCCUCGCUCGCUACCCUUCGGCUCGUAUCAUGCGUUGAAGUCUUCAGCACACGACUCAUCAAUGUGAUAAGAGAUGCACCUUUGCUGGAGCUGCGUUCCCUUGAACUCGACGACACUUUCAUCACCGUCGGAGAGCUGACCGCCGUCCUUGAGAGCUGUCCCCUCCUAGAGGUUCUUCGGGUGCACAAUUGCUUCGAGGUCUACGACGAGGACGAGCAGGUCCUGCGAGCGAAAUUCGCCCGGAUCAAGACCAUGACGCUCGGGUGUGAUGAUGAGUUCCGCUACGGUUCCGAUUACGAGAGCUACGACUCGCACCACGUUCCUGAUUUUGAAGAUGAGAGGACCGACUGAUUCGGGGUGGGCACCGUCGGCGCAGAGCGUCUGGUCAGUGGAGCAUCGCUUGGUUUGGUUGAGGUCCCGGUCCCAGAGAAUCGAUCGAUCGUCGAUGGUCGACGUGGCGCCUCCCCUGUCGGAGCCGCCGGCCAGGGACUGGUCGUGCUGCCCCUCGACGCCAUCGCCUUGAUCUUCGUCAGGCUCGGUGCCGUCGAGGUCCCCAUGGGCGCCGGCCUUGUGUGCCACUCGUGGCUCGAGGCGGCCAAGUUGCCAGAUGUGUGGCGAGCCGUGGACAUGCAGAACCACGAGGUCUUGUUCGAGGAGAACGAAUUUGUCCUCUGCGCAAUGGCGAAAGCGGCUGUGGACCGUUCCGACGGACAGCUCCGGGUGUUCGCCGGGAUGUCCUUCGUCACCGAUGAGCUCCUACAGUAUAUCUUCGAAAGGUCGCCCUCACUGACUACCCUUCGGCUUACAUGGUGCGACGUCUUCCGGACACGACCCAUCAAUGUGAAAGGAGAGUCACCUCUGCUGGAGAUGCGUUCCCUUGAACUCGACGGCGCUUACAUGAACGCGGGAGAACUGACCGACGUCCUUGAGAUAUGCCCGCUCCUCGAGGUUCUUCGGUUGAACGACUGUUUCCAGAUCGACGACGAUGGCGAGCGUGCGCUGCGAGAGAAAUUCGCCAGGAUCAAGGACGUGACGAUCGAGUGGCGUGAUGAAUCCGUGUACACUUCCGAUUACGGGAACGACGACUGCGACAGCGUUCCUGAUUUUGAAGAUGAGUGCAACGAUUACGGAAACUACUACUGCUGCUGCGACUGGGUGGUGGCCCAAGGUCUCAUCUCUUGCAAGACAGACGUCAACCUCGCCUAA
rnacentral:rRNA from 1 species